GGCCGCCGCCGUGCCGGAACCCCAAUCCUCACCAAAAUUUCCAGAUUUUCUUCUCUUCAUCCCCUCUUCCCAUUUCUCCAACCAAAAUCAUGAAAUUUAGCCAUUUAAUCCCCCAAAAACCCUAGAACCCGAAGCUAAAAUUGGGGCUUUUGUGAUUUCCGCUUUCCAAGCUCAAAUCAAGGCUAUGGGUUUGGCAAGGAUUUUUGGUGAAGAAGGCCAAGGAGAAGGAGUAUGACGUGAUUUUUGAAGAAGAAAGGGAAACACGAUCGUUAAGAAAGUUUAAGCGGGAAGCAGCAGAGUGUGGAAUACGCCGGCAUAUUCCAGGUAGGGUGAGCUGUCCCUUCCUUAUUAGAGGCUUUUCGAUAUAUGUGGAAUGCUCUAGUAUAAUAUUAUGUUGCCUGCAAGUAUGUUUUUGGUUGUUCAUUAGUCGAUGCCUCGUGAUAC